UCGUCACACUAUCAUUAACUGAAUCCAUAGGUUAAUGAGGCGAACCGGGGGAACUGAAACAUCUAAGUACCCCGAGGAAAAGAAAUCAACCGAGAUUCCCCCAGUAGCGGCGAGCGAACGGGGAGGAGCCCAGAGCCUGAAUCAGCAUGUGUGUUAGUGGAAGCGUCUGGAAAGGCGCGCGAUACAGGGUGACAGCCCCGUACACAAAAGCGCAUGUGCUGUGAGCUCGAUGAGUAGGGCGGGACACGUGGUAUCCUGUCUGAAUAUGGGGGGACCAUCCUCCAAGGCUAAAUACUCCUGACUGACCGAUAGUGAACCAGUACCGUGAGGGAAAGGCGAAAAGAACCCCGGCGAGGGGAGUGAAAAAGAACCUGAAACCGUGUACGUACAAGCAGUGGGAGCCCCACCACCAAAGCGUUUCGCUUUGUGUGGUGCACAAAGAAGCGUAACGACAGCACUGAAUGACGGUUAACGGAGCGCAAGCGACGUUCAACAUACAAAGUCAAGCAGUGGAGCGCUUUGGGGUGGGGUGACUGCGUACCUUUUGUAUAAUGGGUCAGCGACUUAUAUUCUGUAGCAAGGUUAACCGAAUAGGGGAGCCGGAGGGAAACCGAGUCUUAACCGGGCGUUAAGUUGCAGGGUAUAGACCCGAAACCCGGUGAUCUAGCCAUGGGCAGGUUGAAGGUUGGGUAACACUAACUGGAGGACCGAACCGACUAAUG
rnacentral:rRNA from 1 species